rfam:Triticum aestivum genome assembly, contig: Triticum_aestivum_CS42_TGACv1_scaffold_603728_7DL
CAAGCCGGCGGAGGUCGUGGUGACCGCGACGGUGCGCCGGUCGACGGCUCUGCUGGAUGGCGCCAGCGUGGUGCCUCAGGAGGUAGGCGGGGUGGUGUGGUUCGGAUCGGCGGU